GACGAACGCUGGCGGCGUGCUUAACACAUGCAAGUCGAACGGUGAAGCGCCUUCCUUUUUGGUGGGUGUGGAUGAGUGGCGAACGGGUGAGUAACACGUGAGUAGCCUGCCCCCUUCUUCUGGAUAACCGCAUGAAAGUGUGGCUAAUACGGGAUAUUCUGGGUCUGUCGCAUGAUGGGUCUGGGAAAGAUAUUGUUUCGGUGGGGGAUGGGCUCGCGGCCUAUCAGCUUGUUGGUGGGGUGAUGGCCUACCAAGGCGGUGACGGGUAGCCGGCCUGAGAGGGUGGACGGUCACACUGGGACUGAGACACGGCCCAGACUCCUACGGGAGGCAGCAGUGGGGAAUAUUGCACGAUGGGCGCAAGCCUGAUGCAGCGACGCCGCGUGAGGGAUGGAGGCCGUCGGGUUGUGAACCUCUUUCGCCAGUGAAGCAGGCCUGCCUCGUUUGUGGGUGGGUUGACGGUAGCUGGAUAAGAAGCGCCGGCUAACUACGUG
rnacentral:rRNA from 1 species